rnacentral:rRNA from 12 species
GUGACUAACUGUCCUGUGAGUGCCCGAACCUGUCAGAUGUCAAAAGCUAAGCAGGGCCAGGUUUGGUUAGUACUUGGAUAGAAGGCCGCCAAGGAAGACCAGGGGCCACAAGAC